AUGAUAUUGUGGCUUCUAUUUCUUUUCUUUUCGGCAAUAAUCAGAGGUAUCUUCUCAGAGGUCCAGCUGGUGGAGUCUGGAGGAGAGCUCAAAAGGCCUGGAGAAUCCCUCCGCCUCUCCUGUCGAGCCUCCGGGUUCACCUUCAGCAGCUAUGAAAUGCACUGGGUGAGGCAGGCUCCUGGCAAAGGUCUGGAAUGGGUGGCAUAUAUAAACAGUGGUGGAAGCACCCAAUACUAUGCCGGCUCCGUGAGAGGCCGCUUCACCAUCUCCAGGAACAACCCUUCCAACCUGCUGUAUCUGCAAAUGGACAGCCUGAAGCCUGAGGACACGGCCGUGUAUUACUGUGCAAGAGAGACACAGUGA